GCCUGGGUGGCUCAGUCGGUUAAGCAUCUGACUUCAGCUCAGAUCUCAUAGCUCGUGAGUUCGAGCCCCGCAUUGGGCU
rnacentral:tRNA from 1 species